AUGCUGUACCGAUCCCUAGGGCGCCUCGCCGAACGGUACGGCCUGCUGAUGACGCAUCGGUUGGACACGGUUGUGGUGUACGUCGAUCGCCUUCUCCGCGGCCACGGCCUGGGGUCGGCGCCGAACACCUACUGUCAUCCAUGCGGCUUCACGGAGGCGCUAAGUGGCCGGCUGGCCGCAGCUGCGGACGCUGUCCUCGGCAUUCUUCCGUCGCACAUCGGAGCUGGCGGAGUACGGCCCGCCCGAGGAGGUCGGCCACCAGGCGUUCGCGUCCAUGAUAGACUUGCAGUGGCGCGUUAUGUUCUCGACCGGCUUCGACGAGCCGACGUCCCGUGUGUUGCCGUGUGA
rnacentral:rRNA from 1 species